rnacentral:misc_RNA from 1 species
GCAAACUUGGUCAUUUAGAGGAAGUAAAAGUCGUAACAAGGUCUCCGUAGGUGAACCUGCGGAGGGAUCAUUACAGAGUCUAAAAACUCCCAAAACCCACUGUUAUCUCUAUUCUCUUUGUUGCUUUGGCAGGCGGCCCCAGGGCGGGGCCUUUUGCUCUCUGUACGGGAGUGCCUGCCAGAGGACGAAACCAAAAAUUCUUAAAUCUUUUACUUCUGAGUUGCAAAAACAAAUCAGUCAAAACCUUCAACAACGGAUCUCUUGGUUCUGGCAUCGAUGAAGAACGCAGC